AUAUACUUUGAGAUGAGGAAGAUGAACAUACAGGGUAAAACCAAGAAAAGGAACUGGUUGAUCCAAAACCAUUUUCUUCUGAGAUAUGGACCGAAGCCCACACACCUUACACCUUCCUGCUCAUACUGAUGAUCCCUAUUCUGCAACAAAUGCAUAGUUUGGCUUUGGUACAAAAUUAGAGUCCUCAUAACAUGAGAUGAAAGAUCCUGAGGCCCUUCUUGCGAGAACUGUUAUGAACUCCUCUGUUGUGCUUCAAACCUAAAUAAUUCUACUCUUUUUUUUCAAAGAAAAUUCCUCAUAGCUUUAGCCAAAAUCAUUCUUCACUUCCUCUGCUGGCUUCUCUUGAAUGGUGGGUGAAGAGAGGUCACAGGUAUGAAGCUGCCUGGGAUUCUUCCAGGCUGCUGAUUAUUGAUAUGCAAACCAACAGUCACCACUGCAGACUAAAACAAAAUGUGAAACAGGCUUUUAAAAGAAAAGUCUGUCCAGGUAUCAUUUUAGGUUGUAAGAAAGGUUAAUUCUCCAAUUUGUUGAUCAGGGCUUGCUAGGAGGACUGACCAGACCUCAGUGUGAUCACAUCAGUGGUCCUCACCUGAAAGUGAAACCUGAAGGCUUGGGUUGCUCAAUGCUGCCAUAGGAAGGCACAGACUUUGAAAGCAGCAACUCCUUCCUCUUACAAAUUUGCAGUGUAUUCUCCCUUUUUCCACUCUGUACCACUGAGCAUGAUGAUGGAAGCUGGAGGAAACUUUUGUUUGUUUCUCUGUUUUGUUUUGUUUUUCCCUGACUUUAUUUUUGAGAUGUUAGUUACAUUAUUUGAGGGUGUGUAUGAGAUUCUGGAAGCACAAUUUACAUCUGCUGUGCUGUGAGAUCCUUGGUAUGGUAUUGACUCAUUCAUUGGCACCUGAGAGAGGUUUGGGGAAUUCAGCAAGCUUUCAACAAUCCAGUUUGAGAGAUUAUACAGAAUUAUGGCUCAGUCAGGUUCGUCCUAAUUUUAUUAGAUUUCCACCAUUUCUAAUUGCAUAAACAUAUGCAGCCAAAUAUACAGAUGGGGACUGGGAAGAUGUACAAGGACACUCAGAGUCUGUAGUCAGCUAAUUGGUGGACUAAGUAAUAGGGCACUUGGAAAGAUUGAUUAUUUUUUUCAGAGCAUUUCAGGAGAAAAUUCUGUCCCCAUUAAAACUGUAGCAAUCAAGAGAAGAAAGAUUUUAGCAGUAGAUUUUUUUGGAAAUGGAGAAAGAGACAGGCAUAAAUAUGCGACGCAGAAAAAAUCCAAGAUGAAUGAUGUUAUUUUGGGCAAGAUCUGCUAUUUUAGCCAUAGGAAGAAAGAUAGAGUGUCUCGAAAACAUAGAACAACUGGCUUGAUCCAUAGGGUAACAUCAGAAAUCUUUUGAUCAGGGCUAAAUACAACAGUUUCAAAUAUUGCCUGGGCAAAUGAGAAGUCAUUUUGUAUGAAUACUGUUACUGGUAGCAAAUGCCAGAUUGUAUAAAGUUUUCAGAAAUACUUUAUAUUUUCUUUUGGAAGAUAAAUGUUUAGCUAGGGCUAGGAAAGAUCUUGGGCCAUAACUCCCAUUUCUGGUCAAAUGAUACCAUCUGAGGUACUGGCAUAGCUGUUUAUAUGAGUACCUUCACAUAAAGUAACAUUGCUGUCCAUGCUUGUUCAGGAAUAAGCCAUGCUGUUGGCUUAUUCCCUACCAUCACAGCAGAAGGGGACGGGAGGGAAAAGUGUUUGCUCAGUUUUUUGUUAUGAACCAUCUUCAUCCAUGACACAGCAGCUGCACUAUGGAAUUCACCCUGGAUGAAUGGGAAUGCCAAUGUCUUCACCUCCUGAAGAGAGGACACAGCUCUCAGACUGAAUUAGCCACAGCUGGAUAGGUUGUUUUGAAAUCUCCACAAUUUUCAGACCUGGAAGAUUUUUCCAUCAUGCUGGCCUGGGGUAGGCAUUUGGUGGGUGAGUAAACUAUAAUUUGUUUUGUUUUGCCUUAUGAAGUAAGUGUAGAAAAUACACCAAAGUAGCUGGUCACAUAUUUGGACCUGGGCUUCUCACGAAAGUUCUGCAAAACCCUCUCAAAUGUCUGAAUAUUUACUAAGUAGGUCACGAAAUAUUUUCCAACAACAAAAAUACAAAUACAAAAAUACAAUAGAGUAAUCCUAUUGGGAUGUAGUUAUGUGCUAAUGACUUUAUUUUCUUCUUCCUCCUGUUCAGGCAGUAACAUGCAAAGUGACCACAGCACUGUUGUGAAAUUGCUGAUUAACCUUUUGACUCUGACAAUUGGGACUUCUCUUAACACCAAUUGGUAAUGCAAAAGACCAUUAGUAGUUAAUAUUGGGACACCCCACCUCCAGAUGCCAAAAGGUUAAUGAAAAAGCAAGUAUCUUGCUUUUACUGGGAAACUUGGAAACCUUCCCACCAAACAUUUCAUUUUUUGUGAUAAACAAGCCAGACCGCUUCAGCUGAGAAAGACGGGUGUUUUGCUAAUGUGUACAGCUGUUAAUUGAAAAAGAUUCUGUUAUGCCUGUUCUUCUGGACAUAGAUAAAAGAGAGAUUUGUUGGUGAACUUUAGUUGGUCCUGAACACCCCUUUGUCAAAAUACACUGCUCAAUAAUAACGCUUUGUUCUGUCUGUAACAGCCACGGAAGGAUUUUGAGUGGAAUACUCAUUUUCUUUAAGUCAUAUCUGCCAGUGAUCAUUCUUGGCUUAAGAUCAGCUGCCAUUUAUGUGUUUUAUGAAAAUAUAACACCAGUUUUAUGCUCAAAACUAUUCUUUUUUAGGUAAAAGCUUCAGCACAAACUGGUUCCCCAUAUGUACCAUAAAUGCUAUUUAUCACAGGUUUUGGUCUUUAAAACAGAAUGAUAAUGUUAAAACAUUUUCAUUACCCUUUCCUUACAGCUAUCAUUCACAAACCAUCUUUUAUAAUUAUGGUACUGGGACAUUUACAUAACUGGGAAAAAGGUCCUUAAACUACAUUUCUAUUAUGUUUGGCACUUGUGUGAAAGGAUAUUAUAUUCAUGUGCAUUAGAGAUUGCUUAUAAAAGAUCAAGACAAUAAUAGCAGAUCAGACGAUAAAGGUUCCCUUUUCUCCUCCCAGACAGGCUGUCUCUGACAGAAGAAUACAGUUCAUCAAAAGUGUCUGCAGGUUGUCAAACUCAGUGAGAUUUGGGGACACUCGGAGGCUGUCAUGGCCAACAAGAAGAUUUUCUGUAGGGUUCUGCCAUCAUUCACCCUCAGGAAAUAAUCACUCACUACAUUCUGCAUGCUCUCAUGAUAGAGCUCUAUUUGAGAGAAAAGAGCCAUUUUAUCAAAGGACAAUAUAUCCCUUCUCUUGGUCCAUGCAGCUUCCAUUAUCAGACCAUAAUAAAUCAUAUUUAUGUUCUCAGUUAAUAAGACUGAUUACAAUGCAGGUUACAGGCAUGGGAAAAGCAAAGCAGGUGAAAAGAUGUUUUAAUGAAAAUAUGAUAAGCAAACAGCUUCUUGUGAACAUUUCAGGCUGUUAUUUGUAAUGAUCACAGGCAAUUUUUGAUACAUCUUCUUUAGCAAUGGUUUAAGCUGCAUAAAUUGGCUUGCCACUUUAUACGUCGAAAUAGGAAGAAUCCCAGUGUCCUUCUUAUGUUGUCUAGAAUCAUUAUAUACAUUAUAAGCAUAAAAUGAGUUUAAUGUAUGUGCUUUGAAAAGAUGGGGAAAACAGAAAAUCAGGGAGGACUGAUUUUAAUGCUGCUCAAAAUGAUUUUGAAAUUUUCUGCACAUCUUUGUUACUAACGGUGCAUUUUCCAUGAAAUUUAGGGAUGACAUGUGGUGCUUUCAUCUCCUUAAAAUUAAUAUACUUCUCUUUCUGUUUUUCUCAGUUUCUUCAAAGUUCUUUUUAGAACACUGUGCAAAGAGACAGAGAGAAAAUUCUCCACUCGAUGUGUGAACAUAUCUGUUAUUAAUGCUGGGGGGGAGUUAAGUGUGUGCUUCUAGAGGAGAAUAUACCCCUGCGUUAAACACUGAAAUCAACCCUAUCAAAAAGGUGCAAGGAUAUUUAGCUGCAGCACACCUGAUGCAUUCAAGGGCCAAAUUCCUUAGAAUCUUUUAAAGUGAUCAAGAUCUCUUGUUAAGAGCGCUACAAUGAUUUCAGAAUAUAACUGUACUGAAGUAGCCGAGGAAGUGUCUUGCUCUUGUCUCGUGAAAAGCUUUCUUUUAUGUUUUAUUGUUGUUUUCUUUUUUUGCUGUAGUCAUUUGGUUUAUGUUUAGCAUCAUACUUUCAAGACAAAGUUAAAAAUUUAAAGAAUAAUUUCUUCCUGCUAGCACAUAAUGCUGACUAAGUAUUUCAAAAUCUACAGCACUUGCAGAAUGCAAGCAUUAUGCUUAUAAUGUAUAUAAUGAUUCCAGACAAUAUGAGAAGGACACUGGGAUUCUUCCUACUUUGAUAUAUAAAGUGGUGAGCAAACGCAGAAGUCUCCAUGGUGUUGUGUGUCUGCGGGAGCUGUUCUGGUCACUGAUACUUCUAAAGCUCCCUUAAACAAAUGUUAAAGCUUUGUAAUGGGCCUGGCAAUGGAGAAUGGCCAUGAAAUUCCCUUAACCCUUUUAGGGCACUUCAGCAGGAGAAGUGAUCACACAAGAAACAGUAAACUGCGCUUCAAAGGCAGCAUCCUGAUAUGACAACAGAUGUAGAUAAUGCACUUCAUGAUGAAACUGCUUGAUACAGAGAAAAACACAUUGUAACUGCCUUCACCCUGAAAGGGGUUUAAAAAUGCUGCCUGCCAACUCCACAAAAAACAGAGCUGCUAUUUCAGCUAAAGGCCAGUGGAUUGUAUUUUUCGUGUCAGUUUUCACUAACCUCAAACAUCACUGUUAUGACAGACUGUCAUCCAACCAAGCCAGCACUGUGGUGCCAUUCAGGCAAGAAAGAAGAAAGCAAACACAAAGGAAACUUAGAAGUCCGAGCAGUAAGAGCGGGUGUCUGUGAGUGCACUUUUGUGCAGCGAUACUGAUUACUGAAAAUGAAACACUUAAAAGAAAACAAACCCAAAAAAGUGAUUUCUGAGCCAUUGGUGUUUUCUUGCCUGGCAAUUUCUCUUUGUUCUGUUUCAUGACAUCAGCCUCAGUGGUUGAAAGGGUGUUCUGGGCCAGAUGUCAAUCACUAUGUCUGACAUAAACAAAAAUAGCUAAAAAGACAUGCCAGCAUCUUCCUUUUGUUUUCCCAUUAGCUCCAUUUUUCUUUUCAGAGGCUGACAAAAAAUUACUGCCUCCGAGUGAAUUCAGUAAUGUCACUAUAUAUCUAAUAUCUAGGAGACCUUUUGUUUUAGCUUUACUGGGCUUAACCACAAAAGACACUUGACAUUGACAAAGAGUCUGUCAAAUACACAAUGAUCAGUGCAGUGAAAUCUCUCAUGACAGAAGGGCACUAUUCUGCACCCCCAGCCUGCAGCAGCCUAUCUGAGUAAAAUGUGCUGGAGCACACGCAGCAGCUGAACCAUUGCAGAGCAGGCCAUAAGCUGAGAUGUGUCUUGUUUAAAGUGUCAUAGUAUAUUAGUGUAAUUAAAACCGCCAAAAGAAUAGAAAAGAUAGAUGGAAAUGUUACAUUACUUGUUUCUAGAGAUUAACCUCCAGCCAGAACUGAAAUACAGAGACACAUUUUGCAUGUCUUAGAGCUCUGAUAUGGAAGAAAACAAGCCUGAGUGUAUGUCUCUUGAAGUGUGAGACAUGAAGUCAUAGUUCCUGUAUUUACACAAUAAAGCAGAAACAGCGCUUCAGACAGGCACGCUGUUUUCUCUCUGAUUACAGCUCCCGUUGUGGCUGUACUCUGCAAAGCAGCUGUAUCAUCUCUCAGCUACUUCCCUUUUACUCUCACUGCCUUCGUGCUUGGAAGGUCUUGAGGACCCUUGGGCCUACUGAUGUGCUGGUGUCAAUGCCUUCUGCUCCCUUGGCAUCUGCCAGCGUUGCGUGGGCCCAGCCUAGAGGCAGAGCACCCUGUCCCUAUGGUGUCUGCAGAAGACACAGCUCAGCUCCAGACUCAGCAACACCCAGCUAGGAAGAUGUUUGAAGAAUGGCUUCAGUCUGACCUUUAUAUACCAGGCUGCAUGCUUGCUUCUCUGUUGAGUCUAUAGAUAAAACUGCAUGGCUUUCUGAAAUUGACUCUGAAAAUUAUGUUCCCAGCACUGCAUGUUUUCCUUCCCAUGCAUCAUUACCUGUGAUAACUAUUCAAGUUACGAUCUCUGUUCUAACCAUGAGGCAAGUUAUAUCUGGUGGUGAAAAACCCUUGGAGUUUUUAUGGACCUGUUCAGCUGUGUUGGCUGAACGUUGGUUUAUCCAGUAUCUGGAGAGGACCUCGUCUGGCUUCAGCAGUUCUGAAACAUACAAAAGCGGCAUGGCUUUCUUCUAAUGUAAGCCUUACAUUCAAGGAAAAGAUGCAUUAAUCAGGUAGGUCUCAUGUUCAUUUCUUCCACUAGAAAUGAACUUCAAGGCCUUGCCCCAUUAGUUGAUCACUUUGACGUCAAGAGAUGUUAAAUAUAGGUCUUACAUUUUAGGUUUCCUCAUGCUUCCUCUAUUUCCCAGCUUUAAAUAUCAGUUAAUGACUUCUCCAUAUAGCACUUCUCUUUAAUUUCUGGUCAGAGGCUGUAAAUGUGCACCGUUAGUCAAAAAUAUGUUAUCUGCUGUUAGUGUUGGCUUCUGGAGCCCUCACCACCAAGUUACCUCGCAGUCGCAUCUCUCCUCACAUGAUUUUCUGAGUACUGCCAGGAGAAGAAUGGAAAAUAACUAUGAAAUAAAAGCAGAUUCUGCUCCCAUUACAGGCAAUGAAAACUGUGCUUUUACUUCUACUUACUCAUAAUAGUGGGGGGAAAAAAUGAAGUGGAAACGAGCACAACAAAACACCUCUGCCAGCUAUCUAUAAGCUAACCAAGGCUUCCACUAAUGAGGUGGUCUGGCAUUUUGAGAAAGACAGGUUUUUCCAGAAAUGGAAAAAAUAUGCUGUUUUUUUUUUCCUUCAACUCUGAGAGCAUAGCAAGAGAGUAAGAAAUUGUAUUUCAAAAAGGGAUAGCAAACUUUUAAUGCUGUCUGUAUUAGUUAAUACUUACAGACACCGGUACAGUUUCUUGUCAGCUAGAUGUUUUUGCAUAUUUGUUUGUUAGAUUACUAAAUACUUUCCUAAAAAGUGGUUAUUUGCUGUAUUUACAGAUUCAUCUCAGUGACUGUGAAAUUCCUGAGGAUGUUAUUACUUUCAAGUCAGAUUAACGGAGUAAUUUCCAGACAACCAUGCUACCAGAAUACAUGAUACUACUCUUAAAGUGGACCUCAGAAACUUUGAGAAAGAAAAUGAUUCCAUCUUUUUUGAUCAGGUUCUUCCUCUACAGGAGUUCCUGCAGCUACAGGACCAGGAGAUGUCCGAGGUCAAGAAAAGGUUAAAGUUGUUCACUGCUUUCAAGCUCUGGCCUUAGAAGUUAAUUCAGUGCUGUGCUGCGAGAGCUACAGAGUAAAUCCUUGGAACAGUGAAUUGCUGGUUUGAUAUCAAGCUCACGUCAACAUUUCUAUCAGAAAGAAUCACCAUAAUCACCAGAUAUAUUAGCAGAAACUGCUCCUUCCCAUUGACCACAUACGCCAAAAUCCUUGGAAACUCUUAAGCCGUGGACUUCCCCUGAAGACAUACAGAGAAAAUGGCUCAAGCAAACACUCCUCCCUUCCUUCAGUGGAGCCCAGGUCAGCUGUGACAAGCAUCUGCUCUGUGGGUAGGUGCAAAAUACACGACAAAGAUAUCGGCCGUGGAUCCCUUCUGUAAACGAUGACCUCAUCCGGAGGUUAUGGGACCUUCACGAGGAUACCAGUCGUACUCCUCCAUGGCGAUGUGUUACAGUAAGUAAUUCGCUUCCUGGAUGCACUUGUAACAGGCAGCUAUCCUAACAACACAGGAUACGCAGACAUGUCCAGGUCUUUAAAAAGUCUUCCAAUGCAAUUAUUAAGGUAUUACGUGCUGAUAAUGCCACCAAAAACAUUGAGCAUGCUGUUCAUUCAGUUGGGCAUGAAACUACUUCCUUCUGAAUAUUUUAAAUGUACUUGGCUAAUUAAUUAAACAAUUAAUAAGGGCUACAGUUAAGUUUCUGUUUUUCAUUGUAACAAAUUAUUCCAGAGCAUUGUUUUUACUGAAUUCUGCAUAGGACUCUUUUUGGACACCACACCGAAGUGCAGCUACGAUGUUAAAAGAAAAAUGUUCCUUUGACAAAUGAAAUCUUUAAAAUGGCAACAAGCAAGGAAAAAGUCAGCUCUGAGUGGAAAACAUUUAAUAUGUUUUGAUGAUUUCUUAUCUCAGACAGAAGAGAAGACAAGUUGAUUUUCUCUGCUGAAACUUUUUGAAGUGAGUUCUGACUGAAAAGAUGUGGUGGUGUUUUAACAAAAACAUAUUGUUAUAAAACAUGAUGUAUGCUCAGAAGUAUUAAUGUGUACCUCUCUGCUUCAGGUUUGAACAUUUCAGUCGAGUGAACUAGCCUGUUCCAUUUAUUUUUUAAAUUCUUAUCCAGUUGAUCUUUUUUUUGUUGUUCUUUAAGUUUACAGUAGUUCAAUGGCUACUUUUAUCUCUGAUUUAGGCUUUCAAACAGCACCAAACUCUGCCGUCCCAUCCUGUAAUCUGUCCAUUUAUUAUGGUGACUGGUGAACAGAGGCAACAUGUUAGUGCAAGCACUGUAAAAAUAUCUGUGGAGAAAACAUUCUUUCACUCUAAAGGAUAAGUUCCAUAAGAAUGUAUAUUCUCCAGUAUUUGCAAAAGUACGGUACGGAUUUUUCUUGUUAAAGGUGGCAAUGUCUGAAUCGCAAAUAAUUUCACGUUUAUAUGAGAGACAAUAUAUCAUUUUACAGAUCUGUAAUCAUGGAAAUCAAUGGCCAGUAUCCAUUUAAGAAAAUCGAAAUAAUUUAACUGAUUUACUUAAACAAUGCCUUGUUAGACUACGGAAUUUAAAGUCCUCUUUCAAAAUGAAGGUUGUUUUAAGUAGUGAACUUAUUAUUACAUACUACAUUCUAGUGGCACGUAAACACUUCUGAUUUAAAACAUGAAUUCCGUGUAAGUUCAAACUGAUGUCUUUGACUUUAGUUACAGAACUCAAUUUCAGGACUUUCUGCUGCUGGUGGCUGUAUAUCAGUUCUUCCAAUAGGGAUGUGCUCAGGACAAAUUAGUGAACGUAAUUUUAGCUGUAUGAGGUCAUUACAAAUACAGCCUUAGCUCUUCCUAGAGUGGACUUCAUUGUUAAUAUAAAUAUAUAUCUAUAGUUACUGACAUUUAUAUUAUUUGGCUCCUGUCCUAAGUUAUGGAUACAGUGAUGAUAAAAGCCCUUACCUAAGUGAGUCAUGCUUACUAAUUACUUCCAUGGUACUGGGUUCCUGUAAAUAAAGUUACUCAUGUAUUUAUAAGCAAGUCAAAAUUUAUACAUAUGUUUCUAAGAGUGAGUUAUCUUUCUCUCUGGGGCAAACAGCACAGUCUGCUGUUUGGAAAAGAACACUGAGAGUAAGGACAUCCAGGGUGCUUCCUCGCUUCUGCAAGGGUGCGUGCUCUCCUCUGCCAUUGGAUAUCCAACUAAAAUACUUAAUUUGGUCACAUUUUUUAAACUGUUUAAGACCCUUCUGCAUUACUUCAAGGUAGGAAAUGGCUGUUGAUUUUUCCUCGCUGUUUCCAAAGAGGCUGCGGUAAGAGGGUUUCAGUCUAAUUGUUUGCUCUAAAGAUGUAGCGUUCAAGACACAAAGCCUAGCAGUGUGACGUGGAAGAUCUCAAGACAAAGCAGCAGCCUCAACAUCUCUCUCUAAUGAGAACAGGAAAAGACAAUUGAGAUCCCGUAGGAAUGCAGUAUAUUUAGGAGAGAAGCAGAGCUCCUUUCACGAAUGGAGAGAAAACCCUGGUGAAUGCUGGACUACCUGCUAUCUCUGGGUGUGACUAGGUGAGUGAAGGAUUUGGAUCACAGCCUGUAACGUUUUCCAGACAUUUAGAGUGCAACUACUACAACUACUACGCCAGCAAUUUUAUGCCUUCCUUUCCCUGACUCCAACAGUAUGUGAGAUAAGCAGCCAGAUUUUCUUCUGCAUUGUGUUUUUUUAUCCAUUCAGCCAAAAUUAACAGUCUUCAAGGAUAAUGUAUGCCAAGCGAAUUUAAAUCUUGCGGACUCAAAUCGACCUAAAGUUGAUGGAUACAUUCAUGCCUACUGCUGAAAUCUACCAAUUACACAGAACUAUGCUAACUUACCAUAGAAACAUCUCAUCUAAUAGCACAGAUGAUGUUGAACUAACUAAUUACAUUAUGGCACAUAGACAAUGAAAAACAUAACGAAGAUGACAGCACAGCAACAACAGAUGCUGCACAAAAGAAAAAUUAGAAAAAUAUUGCUCUGCAAAAUGCUGUCUGUUAAGGUUUCUUCUGUUAAAAUUAAUCACAAAAAUUAGUGAAGAUUAGAUUUCAGCAGAAGAUACGAGCAUUGUAAUGCUAUUUGGAAAACGUCAUUAAACCAUUUAAAGUCCUACUCUUUCAGAAGGUAAUUCCCCCCCUUUUUUUUUUGUAUCACUGUCGGCUUUAAGAUGAGUAAACAGUUCAGUGCCGAUGGCAGAGUUUCUUGGGAGGAUGUCUUUCCCAGUGAGGAGAGGUCCCGAUGGCUCUUCCAGAGCCGUGUUUGGUAGCUUCCAGCCAUUAGAGCUUAGAUAAUUAGGCAACUCAGAUUUUAUUUUAGCUUGGCAUUUGCUCUGUUCUGUGCUCUUGGCUGUCAGUGACAGUUGAUUAUCUGUAGCGUGCCUUGUUACUUUAUAUAUUUUAAACUGUAACAGAUCCUAAAUACCAAAUCUGAAACUGCUGAGUAUGUUUAAAUGUAAUAUAUACAUGGGGAUUACAUCCAGAUGAUGUACUUCAUAGACCUGUGAUAAAAAAAAAUGCAUCACUUCUAGCCCACGCCGGUCCUCACCCCCUCCCCCGGUAGCUUUCCAUGAGCUCCCGGCUGCUUCAGCACCGAUCCUGAACGUAAUCCAGCUGAUGGAGAGAGACAGAAAGGGGCUUUUCCCCUAAAUAUAUAUUUCCUCUAAAAAUACCUCUGAUGCUGCUCAAGUUUCAAUACCU
ensembl:lncRNA